rnacentral:rRNA from 1 species
GACGAACGCUGGCGGCGUGCUUAACACAUGCAAGUCGAGCGGUAAGGCCCUUUCGGGGGUACACGAGCGGCGAACGGGUGAGUAACACGUGGGUGACCUGCCCUCAGCUCUGGGAUAAGCCUGGGAAACCGGUCGUAUACUGAGUAUGACUCCACUGACGCAUGUUGUGGGGUGGAAAGCCUUGUGCGGCUGAGGAUGGGCCCGCGGCCUAUCAGCUUGUUGGUGGGGUGAGGCCUACCAAGGCGACGACGGGUAGCCGGCCUGAGAGGGCGACCGGCCACACUGGGACUGAGACACGGCCCAGACUCCUACGGGAGGCAGCAGUGGGGAAUCUUGCGCAAUGGGCGAAAGCCUGACGCAGCGACGCCGCGUGAGGGAUGACGGCCU